AUGCUGUGUUCUGUGGUUCCACUUGUGGUCCCCCUGCAUGUUAGGACUAGAUACAAGCCUGGGUCUGUGGGGAACCCUGGAGAAAGAAGGUUAUACAAAUAAAGACAGUGGGAUAAUGAGUUCAAAAAUAGUUGGAUCUCUCUGCGCUUUGUACCAGCCUGUGCAUCUCCUUCAGUGAGCUCUACCCUGUUGCAUACACUUCUCCCUUUCAACACUCAGUAGUGUCAAGAUGCCUUAGUUAAGUUAACCUGAGUGGUUUGCGGUGGAUCUUCAUUACCUGUGUUUCAGUGAGAAGGACAUAUGCACUGCAGAGAGCCACUGAAACCAUCGGGAAAGUGUCACCUUUCGGUUAAGGAUGUGUAUGUACUGAUAGUACUCAACCUGAACUAGAGCCAAAACGAAGCAAGCCUUCAGAGAUGUACUCCAGGUGUAUGCUGGACUGUCACAUAAAGGCUUGACCCAUCAUCUAACACCUAUGGACUUCUUAAUGUUUAAGGUUACUCUGAUUCUCCAGUUUCUUAAAUUUUGACCAAAAUGGAUGUUCAGAAGUGGAUCCCAAUGUUUUAAGUAGCAUUAAGUAGAUUAAGAUGGACUAAUCGGGCUAAACCAGGGCUAGAUUAACUUACCCCAGCUAUGUGCAUCUGAACCCAGAUCCUGCACUUGCAGCUCAGGAAUGGGAAUUCUGGUUGCAUUCAGCUACCAUUUUGUAUUUAAACGUGGAAUCACACCCACUGAUAAGGAGACUGGUACUCUCUACUUAGAGACAUCUUCUUUGAUUUUUUAAAAGGUUCUGAGGACUCUGAACUGCAUUUGUUUGGGAUUCAGAAAAUCAGGAUUGUGUCUAUUCUUUCCAGAAAACCUGGCUUCCUUUGAGUAGGUUCUGAAUGUUCUCAUGCAUUGAUCCCAGACUGGAAAGCUUGUGUCCUGGUUCAAAUAGGUAAGAGUUGUUCCUUCUUUUGUCUCAGGAAGGGAAAAAAUUAAACAAAAAAGUAAUGCCCUGAAUGCCAGUUUUAACCAUGCAGGAAACUUUCCUCACCUGAGUACAUUGCCCUAGGGAGACAGGGUAGAUACCCUAUGUGGAGUUCUUCCAAGCUCUUCAAACCAAGCAUCAAAGAAGCAACCCUCUGGCUUAGAGGUGAGAAAAUGCUGCCCUGAGGCACAGCUCCUGUGUCAGGCAGAUAGCAAUGGGCUCGUAAAACAAUGUUUGAAAAGGUAAAAAAGAACAGAGGGGAAAAGAUAGAGAUUCUUAGUAGCUGCAAAGUGAGGCUUUUCAAUCACAAUCUCUGACACAGAACAGCACUAUUUGGACAGUAAAUCACUGUGGCCCACUGAGAAACCUGUGUUGAUAAAAGACUCUGACAGGCCAGGUAAGAGGUUCAGGGUGGCUUGCAGGGAAAAUCUUUCAUUCCAAACACACACACCAGACCAGCAGAGGCAGGAGGAGCAGGUACAGGCAGGCAGUCCUGAACAGGAGGGUGAAAUGGGAUUUCAGCUCAUUCUUUCUACAAAGAGGAUAGGAAAGCCCCUCUCUGAUGAUUUUAUUUGGGGAAACAGAGGGCUGCUUUAAGAUUAAGAUUCUUCCACCUAUGUCACGUUCCCAUCAGCUCCUGGGUCUAGCGACAGAACCCUAAAUGACAGGGUAGCAAAGCAGAUCUAUCAGUUUUGGGGAUCCAGCACCACUGGUUUGGUGGCAGCUAUAGGUAUGGCUGUGGAAGGUACUUGGAAAUCACACAGCUGGAUGAUUGUUUAAAAGCCUUGGAGAAGGAAAAUAAGGUACAUACGAGCUGGUCAGACCUGAGUAAGAUAAGCGAGCUCAGUCAGGAUACAAGGCCAUUGAGACCCUCCAAGCCUUUGGAGCACAGCUAGCAGGAUAUGAAUGACCUUAUAACAUUGUGCAUUUCUUGUAAAAUGCACACUUUGAACCUGCUUACUUUAUAGUUGCACAAAUAUCCCAUUCUUUCCCUUCCUUUUUCCUUCCCAUUCUUGACCUUAUGCACUUUAGUCUUGCCCCCAUAGCAAGAGGGAGUUUAAUGUGGUGUCACUAACAACUCUUAGAGGUAAGGAGGAGGGAGAUAGAUUGAAGGAAAAGCAGCUAAUUGAAGAGUUUAAGCACUUUUCUCUCAAUUCAUCAAACACUGCAGGUAUAAUAUUUCACUGUUCUGCAGGACGUGUGGGAGAUGUUUGAAACACCUGAAUUGAAGAGGUGAUUAAAAAGGAAAGUAACAAGGAAAGGUUUAAGAAAAGCUUGGGCAGAUGUUUUUGUUCCCUUCCUAAUGGAGAGACAGAUAUGGAAAAUUACACUUGGUCCUUAAUGCUAGACAUUAACUUUGAUAUACACCUUCACAUUAUUCUAUUCUAACUACACCUGCUUUUCAGGGGCUGCUCCAUAGCAUUAGUGUAGAAUCAUCCUAUCACUUUCAUAUUCCUCCUAUUUCUCAGUGUCCCUCUUAUGUUCCAUCCUUCUUAAGUUUCAGUGAUGUAGACAUAAGGACUGGGUGAUGAGAAAAAGCCCUCCCAUGCAGUAGUUUCCCCUGGGCCAUUUCUGCCAGUCCUGUAAGGUUCUGUUGUGCCAACAGAGCAGCAGAGAGGCUCAAAAUGCAGCAGAUUGUAUCUCUGACAUUUCAAGCUGUUAUGAGUUUCUCAUUGAGGUUAUUCUGUGAUAUCUAAAGGUAUAUUUGAGGUUUGCCUUCCACUGGUUGUAGCAGAUUGUCUUUGUGAUCAACACUUGCCUAGAAACAUCUUGCUCUGUCCUGUUUGUUGCAUUUUACUACUAGUCCAGCUGACUUAGCAUUCACACGCUAACCUGCAAUUUACUUAUGACCUGCCUUAGUACAUUUGAGGGAACCAGGAGGGGGAAAACAGACAUAGGUGAAGCACUCGACUGGGCUAUGAAUAAGCAAAAACACAUUUAGAAAGAAUUAAAGAAAAGGGGUGCAACAAAAAAGCAACAAACAGCUGGAGUCACUUUUCCUUGUCUACUAUGGAAAGCUUGAAAGGGGAAUUCCGUCUCCUGCCAUUCUAAAUAAAUCGCUAGCAGCAAGGAGGUAGUAACUAGUUAGACACGGGACUUUCCACAGAAGAAGAGUAUCCUGUUAUAUCACUGAGAAACAUUCUAACCUGAGGCAACUGAUCUUAACAGUUCAGUGUCUUAAAUUUAGGGAGAGAGAAAAGAACAAUGAUAGCACUUGCUCUUCAUUGAGGCACUUGCCUCGAGAGGCCUCUCAAUUCUCCUUUAGAUGAACAAAGUCACUGUCCUUCUGUCAAGUGCUUAUGUGCAACACAGCUCCAUAAACUUCACUGACUGAGACUAUUUGUAAAUCUUCUCACUGGAGAGACAGCGUCUUGGAGCCACUAUCAAAUCACGCAAGUGGAGUCACAUUAGAUUAGAUCACAGCUAAAUCUAUCCCAGCAUCCUGUCUGUUACAAUGGUCAUUAGCAGAUGCAAAUGGAAAGCUUGUAAGAAACAAGGCAAGGAAAGUAUAAACUAAUCUUGUACCAACUCAGUCCUCCCAGGAGUUAGGGAUGUUACAGAUAGAUGGCUAAUGCUCUCGUAACAGGUUUUCACCUGAGUGAAAGCCACAUUUCUUACCUCUUCCAUCUCUGCUUUGAAACCGACUCCUCACAGUCAAGAUCUAUGCAGAAAAGUGCAUCUGUAAUGGAUUAAGGUAGGAAAAUUUCUCAGCAAAAUUCUGAUGUGACAAAAAAUUAAUGUUGAGAUGACAAGAGCUUCAACUGAAGGGAAGGAUUAACACACAGUUAAGAUCUUGAAGGGAGGGAUUAACACACAGUUGAGAUCUUGAAGGGAGGGAUUAACACAGUUGAGACCUUGACAAAGUCUUCAUCCUUGUAACUAAUACCUUGGCUUAAGCAGUCAUUCACUUCUUGACUUAACCCUGUAUCUUGCAUCUUCCUUAUAAAAGCACUGACAGGAGGCUGUUGGAUAUCUAGGGAAAG